UACGUAGGGGGCAAGCGUUGUCCGGAAUCAUUGGGCGUAAAGCGCGUGUAGGCGGUUCGGUAAGUCUGCUGUGAAAGUCCAGGGCUCAACCCUGGAAAGCCGGUGGAUACUGUCGGACUAGAGUGCGGAAGAGGCGAGUGGAAUUCCCGGUGUAGCGGUGAAAUGCGCAGAUAUCGGGAGGAACACCGGUGGCGAAGGCGGCGACCUGGGUCGAUACUGACGCUGAGGUGCGAAAGCGUGGGGAGCAAACAGG
rnacentral:rRNA from 1 species